UACGGGGGGAGCAAGCGUUGUUCGGAUUUACUGGGCGUAAAGGGCGCGUAGGCGGCCACCGCAAGUCGACUGUGAAAUCUCCGGGCUUAACCCGGAAAGGUCAGCCGAUACUGCGGGGCUAGAGUGCAGAAGGGGCAACUGGAAUUCUCGGUGUAGCGGUGAAAUGCGUAGAUAUCGAGAGGAACACCUGCGGCGAAGGCGGGUUGCUGGGCUGACACUGACGCUGAGGCGCGAAAGCUAGGGGAGCGAACGGGAUUAGAAACCCUUGUAGUCC
rnacentral:rRNA from 1 species